rnacentral:misc_RNA from 1 species
GACAGCAUGGCAUGAGAGAUGUAGACACAGCAUGGACAACACUGAGUGGGUCCCAAGAGAGACGCGAGGCGCAACUACACACAAAGAUACGACAAGGAUACGGCGUCUAUAAGACGUACAAGACGUAUCGUAACACACUUGUCCAUUACGACAAGGUCUAAUCCGACACAACUACUUGCCGUGGCUUUUGCCGGGUCUCCAAAGUCCCCCAAAGUUACUCCACCAACCACUUGUCCGUCUCUUUCGUCAUAUUGGAAAGUGCCUCGCCUCAUGUAUCGCUGCAACUACUUGUCCACUCAAAGUGAGCGCCAAACACCGGUGCAAGUAUGUGCUUACAGGUCCACGGAACUCACCAAAGCACCAAACCUGGACUGCUCGCGGACUUGUAGCCUAGCGGCGACUCAAUUUCUAUCAUAAUGGCCUCGCUAUGGUCGACGACAUGUCUCACCUACCAUCGCCCAUCCGUCUAUCGUUCCCCGCACUCUUUGUAUCGUCUAGACUUUGUCCUUGUCCUGGGGCUGGAAAAGCCCACCCAUACACAGCUAACCUCCUUCGCUAAGAUGGUUCUUAUAGCUUAAUUGAGUCGAGAGAUCAAAG